rnacentral:lncRNA from 1 species
AUGUACAGGGGGUUUUCUGUAUACAUGUUCAGGCGUGCACGCCCGACUCAUACUCUGCAUAUGCACGUGUAUACAGCUAUACUAUCUGCAUAUACACAGGUGUGCCCACGUUACUCUUCUAUGUGUACCUGCAGGUAUGGCACACACCACAGAUCUUUCUCCGUUGGCAGGUAUCACACACACACACACACACACACACACACACACACACACACACAGACACACACACAGGCAAACACGUGGCCCUCUAUUCCCUGCGCAUGCACACAGAUAUGCAUUCAGUUGGCCCUUGGUGUACACACAGAGGCGCGCACACACGUGGCCUCCAUGCGCACAUGCAGGCGCGCGCAGCACUUUUCAGUGCGGGCGGUCUCCAGCCGAGUCCCGCCGCACGCGCACGCGCGCACAGGCCCCUCCCCUAUCCCAGGGCGGGUAGCACCGGCGAGAGGCGCGGGAGAUGAGCGGCGGGAGGAGGAGGAGGAGGAGGAGGAGGAGGGCGCCGAAGGCGCGAAAAGGCGCGCAGGCGCGCUGCGCGGAGCGGGCCCGCCGCCGCCCACGUCACCGCGCCGCGCGCACGUCACGCCGGCCCGACGCUCGGCCCAGGGUGAGCCCGCGUCCGGCGCCGCUGGCUCAGGGCAGGGACCGCCAGGGCCGGACCUCCGGGCCGGCGCCCCCGCGCCCCCGUCGUCGCCCCGCGCGCCCCGCCGGCCAGCCAGGUGUGGCGGGGGCGCUGGCCGGCCGAGCGGGAGGGCGCGGGCUGGGCGCGCGGCCCCGUUCCCGCCCCAGCCCGGUUCCCGCGUCCGGCUGCAUCCCGCCCGCCACCCAGCCUCAGCCCGGAGUCGGCCUCGACGCGGCGUGGCGUGGGCGGCGGGCAGGGGUCCUGGCCACCCUCCGGCUUUCUCCGCGCCAGCGCGCGGGGCUUGGUGGCCGGGCCUAGUGACAGGUGGGGCGGGCGGCGGGCCGGGAGCCCACCUGUCAGAGUGGUCGGCGGCUCCUUGGGGUCUUGGCAGCUCGAGGGCCUGCUGCGGCCCGGGGUUUGCCACGCAGUGUCGUGCCUAA